UACAGAGGGUGCAAGCGUUAAUCGGAAUUACUGGGCGUAAAGCGCACGUAGGUGGCUGGGUAAGUUGGAUGUGAAAUCCCCGGGCUUAACUUGGGAAUUGCAUUCAAGACUGCCUUGCUAGAGUGUGGAAGAGGGAAGCGGAAUUCCAGGUGUAGCGGUGAAAUGCGUAGAUAUCGGGAGGAACACCAGUGGCGAAGGCGGCUACCUGGACCAGCAUUGACACUCAAGCACGAAAGCGUGGGGAGCAAACAGG
rnacentral:rRNA from 1 species